GGACGCCGAGCUCCGACCCCUCCUGCCAACCUUGCGUUUGGCGCUCUCCUAUGGAAACAGUCAUCCUUCCUGCUCAGAGCUGUAUGCCUCCUCUGGCAUAUGGAGCCAGGAGACCUGGCCCAAACUACACCCCUCUUUGGGCCUCAGUUUCCCCCUUGGCAAAGCAAAGAGCCUGGACUGAUUUUCAUCUUUGACAUGGCUGUUGUGCUCAAAUAUGGCUGAGUGCUCAAAGAACACUCAGUCAGGACUGAGGACAAGACAAAUGGCAGGAAUAUUCCAGACCCUCUGUCAGUUUCAGGCCUGUGAGCAUCAGGCACCCAAGUUUUCAUCUUCCCUUUUACCCCGAUGUGCUUCCUGUCAGCUGGCUCUGGGGAAGAGUCUGUUAAUCAGCUGCCACUAAGGGCGUGAAGUUCUGAUGGUGGAACCUCAGGUCUUUUGUUGCUGUUGAAAUUACAGCCCGUUGAUGGCAAGAUGCUGUCACACAGGAGGGACUACAAAGUAGCUGGCAGCAGAAAGCAUCCACAAAACAAGCUUGGGCUAGUGAAAGCAUCUGGCAAACAAGCUCAGGCUCAAGCAAUCAUCAUAAAAAGAAAAGAAAAGAAAAGAAAAAAAAAAGCUCAGGCUCAAGCUCUUUCCUCUCAGCUCAUGACUCAUUUGCACACAUAGGCCUUGCUCCAUGGUGACAGGGUCAGCUCAUCUUGGCCACUUCGCAGACUUGUGAGCCUUUGUGAACACUGACAUAGCAUCACUUACAACCCAGGUGCCUCAGAUUCCAAGGCUGAGAAGAGGAGGCUGUGGGACAUCAAGGAUCUUAGAAACACAACGAAAUCUCAAGACAUUAAAAUUGAAAGGUUCUGAAUUUUGCAUGAAUGUGCAGUUUUCUUGUGGCCUGAGCUUCCAUCAGAUUCUCAAAGUGCCCUUGUAUUAGUCAGGGUAGACUAGGUAAUGCUGUGAUAACAAGCAAUCCCAAAUUCUGAUAACAGAAUCCCAAGUGACUGAUAACAAGGGUGAAUCUUCAGAGAGCCACUGGAUGGAGUCUCUUUCCUGUCCCUGUUUUUCCCUAACAUCCAGCUGCCCAUCUAUGUAAGAAUAAACUAAGCAACAAAAGCCAAAUGUAACCAAAUAGUCAUAUUGGUUAUCCCUUGUGUGACAGAUACACAAAGAACCAGGUGUUUUAUGAAGCAUGAUCUCAUUUAACCUUAUGAGGCAGAGGAGGAAACUGAGGCUUGCAGAACGGAAGUGACUUUCCCUAAGUCACCUGGCUAGUUGUUUAGUCAGAAGCUGGGCUGAGAUUUGAACCCAAGCCCCCCCAGUAGCUACACUGACUGAACACAACCACAUGCAAUGUUUCCAAACACAUUGGUACUGGUUCUAGUACUUGUAUUGUGCUUUUGAGUUUACAUAGCAUUUCCAUUAGUUUGGCAAAUAUUUACGGAGCACCUCCUGUAUUAGUCCGUUCUCAUGCUGCUGAUAAAGACAUACCUGAGACUGGGCAAUUUGCAAAAGAAAGAGGUUUAAUGGACUUAAAAUUCCACGUGGCUGGGGAAGCCUCACAAUCAUGGCAGAAGGCAAGGGGGAGCAAGUCACGUCUUAACACAGAUGGCAGCAGGCAAAGAGAGAGCUUGUACAGAGAAACUCCCAUUUUUAAAACCAUCAGAUCUCUUAAGACCCAUUCACUGUCACAAGAACAGCAUGGGAAAGACCUGCCCCCAUGAUUCAGUCAUCUCCCACCAGGUCCCUCCCACAUAACGUGGGAAUUAUGGGAGUUACAAGAUGAGAUAUGGGUAGGGACACAGAGCCAAACCAUAUCACCUCCCAUGUGCUGGCACUGUUCUAGAUGCUAGGGUUCUAGGGGUGAAUACAAUUGACACAGGGCACAUGGAAGGGCAGAGAAUGGAUUAGGGGUAGCAAGGAGAAUUGUUGGACCGGUGACUGAUGAGGAGUCAAAGCUUUAACUGGAAGGAAUGGCACCUGCUGGGAGCUUCCGGCUCCAUAGCAUAUUGACCAGAAUCAUUCAUGCGCCUCCCACAGCAAACUAAGUCACUCUACCCACAAGGCAGGGGGAGCUUGCCUGAAAGGAAUCUUGGAGACGUCUCCACACCACUAAGCCUGGGCUGUUUUUUAAACUGUGGAAUCACAUUCAUCAUUUUGUCCCCAGUGGCAUGGGAUCUGGUUCAGAGAAUAUGUUCGCCAAAUGUUUAUGGAAUGAAUGGAUUAACAAACAAAUGAACUGAUGGAUGGUGACUGAGGCUGGGCAAUGCCCUUUUACUCUACGGGCCUCAGUUUCCUCAUCUGUCCACCAAGGUGAUGUCCAAGGGCCUCUUUCUCACUGACAUCUGAUGACUAAUAUGACAACAGUGUGCCUUUGUGACUGGAAACCCUGCUGGUCCUCUCUGCCCAAACAGAGCCUGUGUGUCAGUCUCCAAAGCUGACUUCUGUAUUGUCUGGGUAAUUUUGCCCCAGAGACAAUUGUUCACACUGUGAUUAUGGGAAUCGGUUCCAGCAGCAUUGUUGUGGAGAUGGUUAGGAUUCUCUAGGGCCAGGGUAGCUGUGCUGAAGGACUCUGUGGCCAGGAUUCAUGGUUGGAUGCAGACGGGUAUGACUCUAGGAGCACAGACAGGAAAUGUUUUUUCCCCAAAUACCUCUUCUGCUGCUGCCUGAAAUUCCACCAUUUGUGAUUUAUUCCACCGGGUUCAGCAUUGCCCUUUCCUUUGGUGGGUCUUCUCUAUAAAUACUAAAAGCCUUUGUGGAAUGAUGGAGCUUUUAAAUAAAAUUCAAUUCUUUUCUUCAACUUAUUUUUUAGAGAUGAGGUCUCAUUCUGUCACCCAGGCUGGGGUGCAGUGGCACGAUCAGAACUCUAACUCACUGCAGCCUCGACUUCCUGGGCUCCAGGGAUCAUCCCACCUCAGCAUUCCAGUAGCUGGGACUACAAGCUCACGUCAUCAUGCAAUUUUUUUUAAGAGAUGGGGUCUCGCUAUAUUGCCCAGGAAGGUCUCAAACUCCUGGGCUCAAGGAACCCUUCUGCCUCAACUUCCAAAAGUGCUGGGUUUACAGGUGUGAGUGACAGCACCCACCCAAAUUCAAUUUCUGAUUGCGUUUUAUGUGCCAGCCUCUGCACAGAGGGGCUGAGGUAGAAUCAAAAAUAAUAACUAUGACAGUAAUAUAACUAUACCAUUUUUUCAAUUAAAAAUUUUUAAAUUGAGACAUAAUAUUUGUACAUGUUUUUGGGGUACAUGAGAUAAUUUGAUACAUUCAUAUAAUGUGUAAAGAUCAAAUCAGGGUAAUUGAGAUAUCCAUCACCUUAAACAUUUAUCUUUUCUUUCUGCUGCGAACAUUAGAAUUAUUAUCUUCUAGCUGAAAUGUAUAAUAAAUUAAUGUUAAUUAUAGUCACCCUCCUU
rnacentral:lncRNA from 10 species